rnacentral:rRNA from 1 species
GGGUGCGAUCCAACCAGCACUAAUGGAUCCGAUCCCAUCAGAACCUUCAGUUAAGCCUGCUUGGGCGAAAGUAGUUCUAGGAUGGGUGACCUCCUGGGAAGUCCUCGUGUUGCACCCA